rnacentral:rRNA from 1 species
UACGGAGGGUGCAAGCGUUAUCCGGAUUCACUGGGUUUAAAGGGUGCGUAGGUGGGUUGGUAAGUCAGUGGUGAAAUCUCCGAGCUUAACUCGGAAACUGCCAUUGAUACUAUCAAUCUUGAAUCAUCUGGAGGUAAGCGGAAUAUGUCAUGUAGCGGUGAAAUGCUUAGAUAUGACAUAGAACACCCAUUGCGAAGGCAGCUUACUACACAAUGAUUGACGCUGAGGCACGAAAGCGUGGGGAUCAAACAGG